rnacentral:rRNA from 1 species
GAUGAACGCUGGCGGCGUGCCUAAUACAUGCAAGUCGAGCGAACAGACGAGGAGCUUGCUCCUCUGACGUUAGCGGCGGACGGGUGAGUAACACGUGGAUAACCUACCUAUAAGACUGGGAUAACUUCGGGAAACCGGAGCUAAUACCGGAUAAUAUAUUGAACCGCAUGGUUCAAUAGUGAAAGACGGUUUUGCUGUCACUUAUAGAUGGAUCCGCGCCGCAUUAGCUAGUUGGUAAGGUAACGGCUUACCAAGGCAACGAGGCGUAGCCGACGUGAGAGGGUGAUAGGCCACACUGGAAGUGAGACACGGUCCAGACUCCUACGGGAGGGAGCAGUAGGGAAUGGGACGCAAUGGGCGAAAGCCUGACGGAGCAACGCCGCGUGAGUGAUGAAGGUCUUCGGAUCGUAAAACUCUGUUAUUAGGGAAGAACAAAUGUGUAAGUAACUAUGCACGUCUUGACGGUACCUAAUCAGAAAGCCACGGCUAACUACGUG